rnacentral:lncRNA from 1 species
CGCUCGUCACGCGACUGCUCACGAACUCGAGCUCCUUGUGGGCCCAAACGGGCGUGGACAUUAGAUUGUGGGCCUAAGCGGGCGUGGACAUUAGUCUGUGGGCCUAGCCUCUCGAGCACAUUGGUCCUUGGUUCUAGCCCCGAACGGCUCAGAGUACGGCUCGCGCCUGUCUGCGUCUCAUCUACUCGAUCUCGAUCUCUCCUCUGCCGGUUUGCCCUUGUCUGACCAGCUUGGGACCUCUCGAACUGCUCGCCGACAUGCUGGUGUGCCCUCAUCUCCUCGUCACGGGGUCCAAGGCUAGGGCCUUGAUUCAAG